UACGUAGGGUGCAAGCGUUGUCCGGAAUUAUUGGGCGUAAAGAGCUCGUAGGCGGUUUGUCGCGUCUGCUGUGAAAACUCAGGGCUUAACCCUGAGCCUGCAGUGGGUACGGGCAGGACUAGAGUGUGGUAGGGGAGAUCGGAAUUCCUGGUGUAGCGGUGGAAUGCGCAGAUAUCGAGGAGGAACACCGGUGGCGAAGGCGGAUCUCUGGGCCAUAACUGACGCUGAGGAGCGAAAGCAUGGGGAGCGAACAGGA
rnacentral:rRNA from 1 species